rnacentral:rRNA from 1 species
GAUGGACGCUGGCGGCGUGCUUAACACAUGCAAGUCGAGCGAGAAGUUUUGAAAAGAUUCUUCGGAUGAAAUUUAAAAUGGAAAGCGGCGGACGGGUGAGUAACGCGUAGGCAACCUGCCCCAUACAAAGGGAUAGCAUUUGGAAACGAAUAUUAAUACCUUAUGAAACUUAACUAGUGCAUGCUAGGUAGGUCAAAGAUUUAUCGGUAUGGGAUGGGCCUGCGUCUGAUUAGCUAGUUGGUGAGGUAACGGCUCACCAAGGCGACGAUCAGUAGCCGACCUGAGAGGGUGAACGGCCACAUUGGAACUGAGACACGGUCCAAACUCCUACGGGAGGCAGCAGUGGGGAAUAUUGCACAAUGGGGGAAACCCUGAUGCAGCAACGCCGCGUGAACGAUGAAGGCCUUUGGGUCGUAAAGUUCUGUUCUAGGUGAUGAAAACUGACAGUAACCUAGGAGAAAGCCCCGGCUAACUCCGUG